rnacentral:rRNA from 1 species
UACGAAGGGGGCUAGCGUUGUUCGGAAUUACUGGGCGUAAAGCGCACGUAGGCGGGUUGUUAAGUCAGGGGUGAAAUCCCGGAGCUCAACUCCGGAACUGCCUUUGAUACUGGCAAUCUAGAGACUGGAAGAGGUUAGUGGAAUUCCCAGUGUAGAGGUGAAAUUCGUAGAUAUUGGGAAGAACACCAGUGGCGAAGGCGGCUAACUGGUCCAGGUACUGACGCUGAGGUGCGAAAGCGUGGGGAGCAAACAGGAU